rnacentral:rRNA from 1 species
CGGCAGGCUACACAUGCAGUCGAGCGGUAGCACAGAGAGCUUGCUCUCGGGUGACGAGCGGCGGACGGGUGAGUAAUGUCUGGGAAACUGCCUGAUGGAGGGGGAUAACUACUGGAAACGGUAGCUAAUACCGCAUAACGUCGCAAGACCAAAGUGGGGGACCUUCGGGCCUCAUGCCAUCAGAUGUGCCCAGAUGGGAUUAGCUAGUAGGUGGGGUAACGGCUCACCUAGGCGACGAUCCCUAGCUGGUCUGAGAGGAUGACCAGCCACACUGGAACUGAGACACGGUCCAGACUCCUACGGGAGGCAGCAGUGGGGAAUAUUGCACAAUGGGCGCAAGCCUGAUGCAGCCAUGCCGCGUGUGUGAAGAAGGCCUUCGGGUUGUAAAGCACUUUCAGCGGGGAGGAAGGCGGUGAGGUUAAUAACCUUGGCGAUUGACGUUACCCGCAGAAGAAGCACCGGCUAACUCCGUGCCAGCAGCCGCGGUAAUACGGAGGGUGCAAGCGUUAAUCGGAAUUACUGGGCGUAAAGCGCACGCAGGCGGUCUGUCAAGUCGGAUGUGAAAUCCCCGGGCUCAACCUGGGAACUGCAUUCGAAACUGGCAGGCUAGAGUCUUGUAGAGGGGGGUAGAAUUCCAGGUGUAGCGGUGAAAUGCGUAGAGAUCUGGAGGAAUACCGGUGGCGAAGGCGGCCCCCUGGACAAAGACUGACGCUCAGGUGCGAAAGCGUGGGGAGCAAACAGGAUUAGAUACCCUGGUAGUCCACGCCGUAAACGAUGUCGAUUUGGAGGUUGUGCCCUUGAGGCGUGGCUUCCGGAGCUAACGCGUUAAAUCGACCGCCUGGGGAGUACGGCCGCAAGGUUAAAACUCAAAUGAAUUGACGGGGGCCCGCACAAGCGGUGGAGCAUGUGGUUUAAUUCGAUGCAACGCGAAGAACCUUACCUGGUCUUGACAUCCACAGAACUUACCAGAGAUGGAUUGGUGCCUUCGGGAACUGUGAGACAGGUGCUGCAUGGCUGUCGUCAGCUCGUGUUGUGAAAUGUUGGGUUAAGUCCCGCAACGAGCGCAACCCUUAUCCUUUGUUGCCAGCGGUUAGGCCGGGAACUCAAAGGAGACUGCCAGUGAUAAACUGGAGGAAGGUGGGGAUGACGUCAAGUCAUCAUGGCCCUUACGACCAGGGCUACACACGUGCUACAAUGGCAUAUACAAAGAGAAGCGACCUCGCGAGAGCAAGCGGACCUCAUAAAGUAUGUCGUAGUCCGGAUUGGAGUCUGCAACUCGACUCCAUGAAGUCGGAAUCGCUAGUAAUCGUAGAUCAGAAUGCUACGGUGAAUACGUUCCCGGGCCUUGUACACACCGCCCGUCACACCAUGGGAGUGGGUUGCAAAAGAAGUAGGUAGCUUAACCUUCGGAGGCGCUACCACU